rfam:Populus trichocarpa scaffold_1_contig_403, whole genome shotgun sequence.
GGCAUCGAUGAGGAGUUCUUCAUAAAUUCUAACACCUUUUGUAUGAGAGGAGCUUUUUCAGAGCUCUUUUUUUAGCACAUACAACAACUCUCUAAGGU